GCUAGCGGCAGGCCUUAUACAUGCAAGUCGAACGGUAACAUUGGUGCUUGCACCAGAUGACGAGUGGCGCACGGGUGCGUAACGCGUAUGCAACCUACCUUUUACUAGAGUAUAGCCCAGAGAAAUUUGGAUUAAUCCUCUAUAAUAUCUUUUAAUUUCAUGAUUAAUUGAUUAAAGUUUUAACGGUAAAAGAUGGGCAUGCGUCCUAUUAGUUUGUAGGUGAGGUAACGGCUCACCUAGACUACGAUAGGUAGGGGCCCUGAGAGGGGGAUCCCCCACACUGGUACUGAGACACGGACCAGACUCCUACGGGAGGCAGCAGUAAGGAAUAUUGGACAAUGGACGAAAGUCUGAUCCAGCCAUGCCGCGUGCAGGAUGAAAGCCCUAUGGGUUGUAAACUGCUUUUAUACAGGAAGAAACACUCCGACUUGUCGGAGCUUGACGGUACUGUAAGAAUAAGGAUCGGCUAACUCCGUGCCAGCAGCCGCGGUAAUACGGAGGAUCCAAGCGUUAUCCGGAAUCAUUGGGUUUAAAGGGUCCGCAGGCGGUCUUUUAAGUCAGAGGUGAAAGCCUACAGCUCAACUGUAGAACGGCCUUUGAUACUGAAAGACUUGAGUUAUUGUGAGUGGUUAGAAUG
rnacentral:rRNA from 1 species